UGGGGAAUAUUGGACAAUGGGGGCAACCCUGAUCCAGCCAUGCCGCGUGUGUGAAGAAGGCCUUUUGGUUGUAAAGCACUUUAAGCAGGGAGGAGAGGCUAAUGGUUAAUACCCAUUAGAUUAGACGUUACCUGCAGAAUAAGCACCGGCUAACUCUGUGCCAGCAGCCGCGGUAAUACAGAGGGUGCGAGCGUUAAUCGGAAUUACUGGGCGUAAAGCGAGUGUAGGUGGCUCAUUAAGUCACAUGUGAAAUCCCCGGGCUUAACCUGGGAACUGCAUGUGAUACUGGUGGUGCUAGAAUAUGUGAGAGGGAAGUAGAAUUCCAGGUGUAGCGGAGAAAUGCGUAGAGAUCUGGAGGAAUACCGAUGGCGAAGGCAGCUUCCUGGCAUAAUAUUGACACUGAGAUUCGAAAGCGUGGGUAGCAAACAGG
rnacentral:rRNA from 1 species